GCCAGGGCUCGGAGGACAGUCCACGAUGGGCUCUGCCACCUCACCUGCGCCCACCUGCAAGUCCAAUAUAAGUAACACUGAUGGAAGGGUGGGCUUACACGUCUUCCAUUCUGUGUUUUGGCUGUUUUUGUUUGCUUUUUGUCUUUACAGUGCUGGGGAUGAACCCAGGACCUUGCACAUGCCAGGCAAGUGCUCACCACCCAGUCCAGCUGCCUUCCACUUCUCAGGACCAGUUUCUCUCUAGGGGACCUCUAGGAGAAGGGCAGAACUCAGACAGCCAGACACUGCGGUCCUGAGGUGGGACAAGAGGAAUAAAGAUACAACAAGCUUGGGCAACUCUCUUUCACCUGCAAAUUGGCUCUUUUCGCCUGUGAAUGGCACUUAUCCUCAAGGAAGCAGCACUGUAGUGGACAGUGGCUCUCAACUUCAAACCCAGGUAAAUGUUUCCCGAUACAGCCGCCCGACGGUGACCUGGCAGACAGGAGCGCGCAUCCCAGAUUGCCCAUCUGAGGACACCCAUGCCCACACGUGUGCCUAGUGCCGAUCCCAAGGCUCCUCUCUUUUUGAGGGCCCAUACUCUAUUUCUUUGAGUGAGUACUUUUAAUUUGUGCCUAUUAUAUCUCUGUGUGUCUUACUGACUGACGCAUCCUGAGAGUUCAGGAGUCCAGCUAACCUGGAACUUGGUUCUAUGAGCACAGGAGUCUAGGUGCAUCAUCUUGCAGGGGACCUUCUCAGACCCUGUCUGACCAGACCACAGGUUUCUGUGAGCUAGGGCCACUCCACACCCCCGUUCCCUGACGCCAGUCUGAGGAAGCAGGAGGAAAAUGUCCUAUGAGCUCACAGCACAGCCAACCCCGUGUCUCCCUGCUGGCAGACACCAGCCUGGCGUUCCCUCCCCAGUUCCAUUCUGACACUGCCUCCUGGGCCCAGUCUCUACCACUGCACCCCAGGAACCAGCCAAAGUCCCCCUUUGUCUUGCCUGUGCUUCUCACCCACCAAGUAUAAACCCCAUGCCCCUCAGGUUUGCUAACUGGCUGUAGCGGCUCACAGGAGUCAGGAAAACACCUGCAUUUACUGGUUUCUGACAAAGGAUGUAAAUGAAGGUGGCUAGGGUACCAUGUAGGGGAGAGGAGCCCUACCCUGGCUGGUGCCUCCUCCGGGACUCCGUAUGGUACCCUCCCCAGACACUCUGAGCCCUGUGACCCAGGCCCGACUGAACCAGGCCUGGUGCUGAGAGGGCAGAUCCCACAGCGGGCAGGAGCUGAUGCUGGUCGACUGCUGGAGACAGAGGAAGCCGAAUCCUCAGGUUCUGCUUGGCCUCUCUGAACAGUGUUCCCUCCCCAAGAACAGCCAGGACCCCUCCUGAAGUGGAGUCUUGUGACCUUCUCGAGGUAGGUAGAGAAUUGCGCAGGCCCAGUUCUUACCCAGAGGAGCGGGAACACGUGCGAAGCUGUUUCACUGUCUCCACGGUGUGGGGAUGUGUUGAGGAGCUCAGCUUUACCUCACUGCGCACUCUGGAUUUCACCUGGUAACCACGAGCAGUCAGGCACUUUUAUUCCCAGUCUUAAUUACAGAUACCCACAGCAUUGAGCUACACGUCUCACGUCAGGCCAUGACAAGCAGUUGUGGGAAACAGUUAGUAGCAGCUGUAGGACUUGAGGAGGCAGACCUGGGCAAAGACAGAAAGCCCAUGGAGGGGUACAAAGUCACCACAGGUGGCCAGGUAGGAUGACAGCUGAUGGAGUCCGCCGUCACUUGUCGAACAGCACCUGAAUGGGGGAGUGAGGAUGAGGAAAAAGAAAGACACAGAAAUAGAGUCGGGAGGGCUCCCAGAGAGACCGAGAGUGCCCGUUUAUUUUUCUCCUUCCCUUUAUAGCACAGGUGAGCUUGGUCAUUAAUCAUGACCCUUAUCCAAAGACACCUGCUUCCUUGUUCUCUAGCUCUUUGGAAAUUCCCCACCUUCGUGGGCUUUCUUGUUUCUCAGGGUUACAGAACGUUCAUCAUGUUUCCAGGACAAUUUCUAAAGGUAAACAUCUAAGUUGGCAAGGACGGGGUUCCUCAUAACAUAGACUCCUAGCUCUGUACAAUGGAGGGUAAGAUUUAACAUGGAGCCUCUAUGGCUAACACCGCUCUCCACAGACAGCCUAGGCCAAACUCACUCCAGGCAUGGCUUGUUGAGGGCAGAGUUGGUGCCAAGCCCGAGUCUGAGGCAGGAGUUGAGUGGGCCACAUUGAGCAGGAAGGUGGAGUGCGCUGACCCUGGGGUCAGAAAGCCAGAGUUUGUCACCUGUUGAGCUCCUGACUCGCUCACCAGGUGGUCUGAGUAGACGACAGGUCGGCGGGUCACUGCCACUCCCCAGUGUCGUGCGCCCCUCAUUUUAACAGGCCGGGAGAGGAUUGGCUCUGUUGUUGGUCUGUCUGUCCAGUGAGCUCUGGCCUGGUAUUCUCUGGCCUGACUCAGACACUGCGUCAGGUGUCCAUGCCCCCCCUGUGACGUAUAGUUCACAAGGGUGAUUCUUUUUUUUAAUUAUUAUUAUUUGGUUGGGGGGAGGGUACUGGGAAUUGAACUCGGGACCUUGAGCUUUCGAGGGAGGCCGGCAGCGGCACCACUGAGCUAAAUCCCUGGCCCAACAGGGGUGAUUCUUAACAGGGUCGAUUUAUUUAUCAUUUGUGUCCUUAUGAUUGUGUUGUGCAGCUGGGGAGCAACUUCAGAUUCGUUGCUAAGUUUGUGGUUAUUUAUUUACACAGACAAGUUACCAAACCAUCUACUUCAGCACUUGUACUCAAAAUGGACCAAACUUCUGGGCUCUUUGUAGUUUGUUUUGUGGUACUGGAGAUGGAAACGAGGCGCUUCACACUGACCUACACCCCCAACCCAUCUUUAUUUUUUAGUUUGGGACAGGGUCUCACUAAGUUGCCAGUUGUCCAGGCUGCACUCGAAUGUGCAGUCCUCCUGUUUCAGCCUCCCAGAGUGCUGGGAUUACAGGUGUGAGUCACCAUGCCCAGGGCAAACUGCUGUUUUGGCAAAUGGAGCCACUCAGAGCAAGGCCUUGCCUGCUGUACACAGGAAGACCCACUCUGGGGACCAGGACUUCUAGUUGCAAGGCCUGCCUUGGGGAGGGAGUUCUGCCAGGAGCCAUGGACAAGGCAACAUCGAGGGAAACAAAAUCAGGCUCCUGCCACCCUUUGCCCACAGCAGUUUACCUAAUCAGUGUGAAACCUCAUUUUGUGCGUCUGCGUAUUUGAAGUCACCUUCUUUAAUAUAUGUAUAUUUUGAUUUAUUAACAUUAAACUCACAACCAACCACACUAUAACUCACAUACGGAAGCCAUCCUGCUCAGGUAUUUUCUGCAACAUUUUGUGCUUAGGACACCAGAGAGCACAUCAGGAUAUACCUGUGGCAUUUUCAACAGCGAAACUGUCCCAGGACAGAGUCCAAGGAGGCUCCCCAAAGCAGAAAUGGGGAACCUUGACUACUCCACCCACAGGGCAGGUUGAAGGUUGGCUGACUCCUACCAAAGAAAAAGAAUUUUCAAGACACGUGAGUGAGAUGCAUAAUAGAGGUUUAUUGGGCAGAAAUGAAAAGGGACAUGUGUCCAGUGAGAAUAGAGUGCAGGCCUCAAGAGAGGCAUCUGUGGUCUGGAGUAGGGGUUUUGUGUGGACUUGGGGGUCCUCAAGAUGGGUAUCCAG
ensembl:lncRNA